rnacentral:rRNA from 1 species
UACGGAGGAUGCAAGCGUUGCUCGGAAUUACUGGGCGUAAAGCGCGUGUAGGCGGUCUCGUGUGUCUGGGGUGAAAGCCCCGGGCUCACCCCGGGAAGUGCGUUGGAAACUGCGAGACUAGAGUUACGGAGAGGAAGGUGGAAUUCCAGGUGUAGCGGUGAAAUGCGUAGAUAUCUGGAAGAACACCGGUGGCGAAGGCGGCCUUCUGUACGGUGACUGACGCUGAGACGCGAAAGCGUGGGGAGCAAACAGG